rnacentral:snoRNA from 1 species
UGGCUUGGCUUCCCAGGGUGUGGACUUGGCCCACCCCUCCUCCUUCCCCUGGAGUAGAGGAGCCAGGAGCCCUCCCCUGUGGGUGGGGUGUUUCCAUAAAAAGCCUCACUGGGGCUGUCCUAGCCGCCAGCA